AUUGAACGCUGGCGGCAGGCCUAACACAUGCAAGUCGAACGGUAACAGGAAGAAGCUUGCUUCUUUGCUGACGAGUGGCGGACGGGUGAGUCAUGUCUGGGAAACUGCCUGAUGGAGGGGGAUAACUACUGGAAACGGUAGCUAAUACCGCAUAACGUCGCAAGCCCAAAGAGGGGGACCUUCGGGCCUCUUGCCAUCGGAUGAGCCCAGAUGGGAUUAGCUAGUAGGUGGGGUAACGGCUCACCUAGGCGACGAUCCCUAGCUGGUCUGAGAGGAUGACCAGCCACACUGGAACUGAGACACGGUCCAGACUCCUACGGGAGGCAGCAGUGGGGAAUAUUGCACAAUGGGCGCAAGCCUGAUGCAGCCAUGCCGCGUGUAUGAAGAAGGCCUUCGGGUUGUAAAGUACUUUCAGCGGGGAGGAAGGGAGUAAAGUUAAUACCUUUGCUCAUUGACGUUACCCGCAGAAGAAGCACCGGCUAACUCCGUG
rnacentral:rRNA from 1 species